GGCUACCGCACCGGUCUACGCGUGCCAUUACGCUGUCUCUGGUUUUCUUUGUUCGAGUUCUUGUCCGAUUACGAGCGAUUCGAAGCACCGAGUCGUCUCGGAUAAUCGAGAAUCUACGAGUAACAGAGGGUGAGGUUAAGGAAUCGAGAAAGGGGAAGAACGAGAUAGAAAGAAGAGGAAGGAACGCGAAUCCCUUCUAUCAUUGCUCCUCGUUCCUCCGGCAAUUUCGACGACUAGCAGAGGGGUGCGUCUUCCUGUAUUUUAUGGGAUGAACGAGGAUUUACACAAGGACGCGUGUACGCGAGAAUCUUCUUCGAGAAGAAGCCUCGAAUCCAGAAACUGUUUGCGCUUAAGGGAAAAGCGUAAGCUAGAUGUUCCGGGUCGUUGGAAAAAGUCGGAACGGGGCAUUAGAAUGGCUUUCCCUUCGCGGAGGUGGUCGAGUGGUGAAGAGUGAAAGGAGAGUGAGCAGCGAGAAAGGACUAGCCCCAGGGAUUGCAUAACCGUAGGCCUUCGCUGGUUCUACCCUCUUUUCACCGCCUCUGCUACUACGAAGAAAAGAGGAUGAAAACUAAAAAGGCGAGGAAGAAAGGCGUAGAUGAAUAAUCAAACACUCGGCUGGGCGCACUGCGACGAGUCUGGACGCUCAUUCAUCCGUGGCCUUAAUUAGACUGUCUGCGGGAGAAAUACAAUUAAUGAUUGUCUCUGCCAAGCCUAAUACAAACAUUAUCGCGUGGAAUUUUGCGAACCUACGAAGAAAAAUAGAGAUAAAAAUUGAAAGCAUACGGGUUGUUUCAAACUCGAGGAGCACGAAGUACUUGUCAAAUCAAACGAAAGGACCGUAACA
rnacentral:misc_RNA from 1 species